rnacentral:lncRNA from 1 species
CAUAAUUGAACAGUAUGGCAGAAGGAAAUCCUUUUGAAAAUGACAAUAAUACAUUAAACACAAGUUCAUUGCUUGAAGAUUUAACUAAUGGAACUGUUGGUGAUGUACAGAAUGGGGAGGGUAACGGAAAAUCAUAUAAUACUACUGUGCAAAGUCGUAGAUUAUUGCAAACAGCACAAAUCAUAAAUCUAAAUGUUGCAUUUAUUUGGAUACUUUGUUUGAUAGUUAUUGCGAUUUUAUUUUAUUUUUAUUUAACUAUGCAUUAUUAUAAACCUGGAAGAAAGAAUAAAAAAAAACGUGGUCGUCGUAGAAUGCGAUAAAUUUACCCGAACUGGACAUGCGGCAAACCUGGAAAUACAUUUAAAAAGCGUUCUAUGAAUGAAAAAAUGCAAUACGUUACAAUUUAAAGAAUUAGCACAAAUUUAAAUUACCUAUACAUGUGUGGGUUAAAUAAAAAAGCAAUAUUGACGCA